CUAUUUAAUUGUUGUAAACAUGAGCUUUAAAGAUCAAAAAAUGAUAAAAUAAAAUUCUAUUUGAUACAUGCAAUAAGUGGAAAAUAUGGAUCAAAUUUUCAACUUUGUUAAUGUUAUGAUAUUCAUUCUUUCCCUUUUUCUUGUUUCGACGCAAUGUCUACAUGGUAAAUCAUUUUUAUCUCCUUUUCAAAUUUCCUUCUUUACUUCGUACACAUCAUAUCCAUGUACUCGUGACUGAUUGUCCCUUUGUUUCCAUCUCUAAGACCCACACACAUCCUAAAAGAUUGAGGUGUCGCAAAGGUUUUUGUGUAUGACAAUAAAGCUCUAUAGAUUAUAUGAUUGUCCGGCCCAAAAGAAUACACAAAUGCACAACUAGAAUAUUCCACGAGUUCUUAUUUAGUUAUUAUGACCACACAUUAAAUGAAUUUUCUUUCGACAUUUCUAAUUUCACAUAUAUUUAUUAGUUUUGUACUUUAAGAUGAUGCAAGUGAAAUGAAAUAAAGCAUGAAAAAUAUUAUCUACAA
rnacentral:lncRNA from 1 species